rnacentral:rRNA from 1 species
UACAGAGGGGGCAAGCGUUAUUCGGAAUUAUUGGGCGUAAAGGGCGCGUAGGCGGCUUUGCAAGUGACGGGUGAAAUCCCUCGGCUUAACCGAGGAACUGCCUGUCAGACUGCAUGGCUUGAGACCGGGAGAGGUGAGUGGAAUUCCAGGUGUAGCAGUGAAAUGCGUAGAUAUCUGGAGGAACACCGAUGGCGAAGGCAGCCCCCUGGGCUAACACUGACGCUCAUGCACGAAAGCGUGGGGAGCAAACAGG